UGUGUGCCUAAAUACAUGCAUGUCGAGCGAGGUUAGCAAAUAAACCUAGCGGGCGAAUGGGGUGAGUAACACGUGCUAAAUCUACCUUUUAGAUUGGAAUACCCAUUGGAAACAAUGGCUAAUGCCGGAUACGCAUGGAACCGCAUGGUCCGUGUGAAAGGCGCUGCAAGGCGCCACUAAAAAAGAUGAGGGGGGUGCGGAACAUUAGUUAGUUUGGUGAGGUAAUGGCCCACCAAGACUAUGAUGUUUUAGCCGGGUCGAGAGACUGAACGGCCCACCAUUGGGACUGAGAUACGGCCCAAACUCCUACGGGAGGCAGCAGUAGGGAAUAUUCCACAAUGAGCGAAAGCUUGAUGGAGCGACACAGCGUGCACGAUGAAGGUCUUCGGAUUGUAAAGUGCUGUUAUAAGGGAAGAACAUUUGCAAUAGGAAAUGAUUGCAGACUGACGGUACCUUGUCAGAAAGCGAUGGCUAACUAUGUGCCAGCAGCCGCGGUAAU
rnacentral:rRNA from 1 species